rnacentral:lncRNA from 1 species
AGCUCCGCCGCGCCGAGGAAGUGUCGCUAAGAAAGCUGCAGGACGGAAUGUCGUCUUCAUCUGUGAACCAUUGGGAUCCCUAAGAAGAUAGAUGACAUGCCCCAAGGGAUGGACAGAUUAUAACCUAGGGUACUCCAACUCCCAGAGUGGAUCCUUCCCACGUUUUUGACCUCUUAGUCUUUUUCUCUUCUGGGUUAGUUUUUCCUCCUGGGUACAAGAGUAUAAACGCUUUGAUCUCGGGUGCUUUCCCACCUUUAAAAUCUUUAGGCUUUUUCUCCUUGGGCAGAUACCCAGUUAGGACUUUGGGGACCACGAAGAACUCCAGAGACCUACUAGUGAGCAUAAACUGUUAGUUUUCUCUUCCUUCUUCCCAUUUCUUUACAAAGGAUAUAAAAGGUCGUCUUUGGUUCAAGGUAAUGGAGAGGCCAUCGCUAAGGGCGAAUGGCUGAAUUGCUGUGCUCCAAACGCGACCGAAAACCGGUCUAGAGGAGGGGACUCAGAGAUUGGCCUUCAAAGGAUUAAGGCCCAAGAGAGAUCGGCUUUCUAAACUCUGUGCUUCCUCUCUCGCUGCGCGGUGCAGGGGUAUCGAUCCACGGCCCUGGCACUCUUGUUCCCUGCACCACAGAGACCCAAGCUGGGUCAGACCUACUUGUGUACUUUCCAGGAUACUAGGCCUGGGUGGGAAGCUCCUGGGUCUGCUACUAUCGACCUGCUAAGUCCGACUCUUCCAGCCACGCCCGAGAGGACAGACCGCCCUAUAGACUGACAGGGAGUCGCCAAGCUAGUUGGAAGGCCCAGCCGGUGCCAAGCAGAGAGCUGAUUGGGGCUAGUCCCUGUGGAUCCCACGCUGCCCUGUGGCUACUGGGAUAGGAAGAUUCCUGCUGGGGUCAGAGAACUGCAGCUCCCUGAUGGAAGGGAGCCCUGGGCCGGGCUCAGAGUGCAUCUCACUGACUCCUGAAUCUGCUUCGUGUGCUCACCCGGCCUACACGUCUCUCCUCAGUGCCCGGUGACCAGUGGCCUAGUGCUCUAGGCUCAGAGUGUCAGCGGCCAGCCCUGGACAUCUGACCGAAGCUGCAAAGGAGCAGAAAGAGAUCUGCAGGAGGCACAGGCAGUCUUGCAGAGGGAGGGGAGGAAAAAGCGUAUUUAUUGGACUGGCAUUUCUCUUAACAGAGCUCUUUCCUAAUGAUAUUUACUUAACUGUAUUUGACAGCAGUUACGAGCACGUCUCCGGUAAACAGGAUCUAUACUCCUUGCGCCUACAACUGCCUGUCAGUUCCUAAGCCAAUCGCAGUAAUAACCGCUGGAUCAUUCUAAGUGUGGCUAAACAGACGUUGGACAAAAUCAGUCUGCCACGCGCUGGCUCUGAAGGAAAUCUCUUCCACAGUUUGACGAAUUGUUUCCAGUCCCUCCAGCAAUCCAUAACUCGCUUUCUUUCGUCCUCUACCUCCCUCUCCCGGUUUCUCCCUUUUUUUCCUUCUUCCACAGAGAGCAACCCCCGGCGUUUUACCCUUUCUAAGAGGACUCCAGGUAAUCCGAAAUGGCACUGACCCUUCUCAUCCUCCGAUUACCUCUCUGAAGCAUGAACUUGGGACAAAAAUCACACAUCAGAAAAUUCGCCGUGAUUAUGUUUGCAGUGCUAUCAGCACCGAUCAAUCACGCGCGGCCUAAUGCUGGAAUGCCGGGCUCAGCCCAGGACGCUGGCUGCAUCUCGCCUGACUGACAGUUUUGGUAAUUAAGUGAUUGUAUAGACCUCUCCGACUGUUCUAACAACCUUGUCAGGGCCGUCUGUGGACAGAACAAGCUGAAAUCAAUGUGCUUCCUGCUCUCUUGAGCAGUUCUGAUCGUGUACUCACACCGAAUGGGGAGCGGGAAUCUGACCAAAGGAAAACUGCUAUUCUAAAAGAUCGGAUUAAUGGAGGGGGUUGGGUGGAGAAAGUUUACUUCUUGGAGGGAGGGAAGAACCAGAGGCAUGGACCGAGCCAUUCGGCUUCCCUGAGCCAUCCUGUUGACCAAGCGUGGGGCUAGAAGCCUGGCGAGUGUUAUUCAGGGGCCCCAGGCAGGACUGAGGACCCCAGCCCCUACAUGGGCAAGAGCCUUCGAGCUGUGUUGUAGUCCCUGAGCUCGGAAACAGUCAGCAGCGGCCGGCACGCAGCAGCCAGAACUCGGUGGUACAUCGGUUUUCGCCUGGAUUAGCGGCAGAGAGGCUGGUGGCUCCGUGUAAAUGUCAUACGGCAGCUUUUAAUAAAGGAAUGUUCAGAUUGUU